rnacentral:rRNA from 1 species
GAUGAACGCUGGCGGCGUGCCUAAUACAUGCAAGUCGAGCGAACGGACGAGAAGCUUGCUUCUCUGAUGUUAGCGGCGGACGGGUGAGUAACACGUGGAUAACCUACCUAUAAGACUGGGAUAACUUCGGGAAACCGUAGCUAAUACCGGAUAAUAUUUUGAACCGCAUGGUUCAAAAGUGAAAGACGGUCUUGCUGUCACUUAUAGAUGGAUCCGCGCUGCAUUAGCUAGUUGGUAAGGUAACGGCUUACCAAGGCAACGAUGCAUAGCCGACCUGAGAGGGUGAUCGGCCACACUGGAACUGAGACACGGGCCAGACUCCUACGGGAGGCAGCAGUAGGGACUGUUGCGCAAUGGGCGAAAGCCUGACGGAGCAACGCCGCGUGAGUGAUGAAGGUCUUCGGAUCGUAAAACUCUGUUAUUAGGGAAGAACAUAUGUGUAAGUAACUGUGCACAUCUUGACGGUACCUAAUCAGAAAGCCACGGCUAACUACGUG